UAAGUGGAGCAGCAAAAUGCAAAGCAGAAAGAAGAGGGACCUACUAUAGAGGGAUAUGAUUUCCAUUUUCAAGGCGCAUUCAUCCUAUGCAGGGAGACAGCCUAACAUAAAAUUUGCCUAACAAAAAAUAUAUUGAUAUGUGGAAAGACUAUCUCCCAGUGGGACAGUGGAUGCCUGGGACUCGUUUCAUUGCUUUCAAAGUUCCUUUAAAAAAGAGUUUUGAAAAGAAUCUUGCUCCAGAAGAAUGUUUUCCCCCCUUGGAUCUUUUUU